rnacentral:lncRNA from 1 species
GAAAACCACGGACAAGAGGAAGUUGAAGAUAUGAGAAAAACGAAGCUCUGUCAUGGUGGUAGUCUAUCUGACAGAACUGAGGAGUCCCCCACUUCCGUUUCCGUGAAGUUGUUCCCCCGGUUCAAUGAUGAAAGAGGUGGCCUCUCCUCCGGGACAGUGGCUUUGACGCAGACAACAAGCACAUGUACCCCCCAGGAUCAUGUGAAGCAGCCAGCCAACUGUGCUUAUCCUUCUACAGGGCUCCUUGCUGCACAGGCAGAGGAGUGACCGGAGGAAAACAAGCCCUCUUGGCUCUCCUGUAAUGUGAACCACAGCAGAUGAAAGGAGACUAAAUUACUGGAGCUGAUCUCCAGAGAAAAUACAACUCCCAGCCUUGGAAAACAGAAACCAGGACAAAAGCCAGACAAGGGAUACUC